AAUAACCAAAUAUAAUAGUUGGACUAAGUCAAAUUGGUAAUUUUUCUUGCAUGUCCCUUUGGAGCCCAGGUAUCACAUAUACCCCCAAAAUAAAAAGCCUUGAAGACUAGAAGAAAAUCCCCCUAUACCUAACAAGAUUAAGUGAAUACCCAAAAGUGUAGUCAUUUUAUUACGCCCUGAG
rnacentral:antisense_RNA from 12 species